rnacentral:rRNA from 1 species
AGAUUGAACGCUGGCGGCAGGCCUAACACAUGCAAGUCGAGCGGUAGAGAGGUGCUUGCACCUCUUGAGAGCGGCGGACGGGUGAGUAAUGCCUAGGAAUCUGCCUAGUGGUGGGGGAUAACGUUCGGAAACGGACGCUAAUACCGCAUACGUCCUACGGGAGAAAGCGGGGGACCUUCGGGCCUCGCGCCAUUAGAUGAGCCUAGGUCGGAUUAGCUAGUUGGUGAGGUAAUGGCUCACCAAGGCGACGAUCCGUAACUGGUCUGAGAGGAUGAUCAGUCACACUGGAACUGAGACACGGUCCAGACU